CUCCAGUCAGCCAGCUGGGGUGAUUCUUUAUAAGCACCCUGGUCAACCAGUGGAUAUAAUCUGAAUAUAAAUCCUUCUGCACUCCCUAAAUGUGACCUACACAAUAUCAUAUGUAGUGUCUUCCAUUUGAGUGGUGGGACUGCUGACUUAAGAGUGGAACCCUGUGUUUUCAUCUAUUUGGUGAUAAAGUUACCUUUCUAUACACCUUACUAGGCAGAACAAAACAAUCAGCGCAGUAUGGAGAAAUUGAAAUACCCACAUGAGCCAGACCCUGUUCCCUCAUCCAUUGCUUUGAUAGACCCACUUAUCUGAUGAUGAAUGAAAAAAAUGUGUCCUAGUGUCUGUAAUAAACUUUCCAGAUUUCAUCAACUCUUCAUUGAUGGAACUCUUGAAGACAGAAUACAGAAGAUGGCCAUGACCAUCUAGUCCACCAAGAAACCCCCCAGAAUUUCCGGUUGUUUGUAGAUAUACUGCAGAAGACCUCGGAUGUGAAUGAAAUUUAGUUUUGUAAGAGUGGAGCAUGGAGUACAUCCUCUGAAAAUCUCGAAGGAAGUUAACAUUACUCCUCCUUAUCUGCCUCAGGACCUUCUCCAGAGAAGAUGAAAAUGAAAAAAUAGAA